ACACUCCUGCGGGAGGCAGCAGUGGGGAAUAUUGCACAAUGGGCGCAAGCCUGAUGCAGCCAUGCCGCGUGUAUGAAGAAGGCCUUCGGGUUGUAAAGUACUUUCAGCGGGGAGGAAGGCGAUAAGGUUAAUAACCUUGUCGAUUGACGUUACCCGCAGAAGAAGCACCGGCUAACUCCGUGCCAGCAGCCGCGGUAAUCCGGAGGGUGCAAGCGUUAAUCGGAAUUACUGGGCGUAAAGCGCACGCAGGCGGUCUGUCAAGUCGGAUGUGAAAUCCCCGGGCUCAACCUGGGAACUGCAUUCGAAACUGGCAGGCUAGAGUCUUGUAGAGGGGGGUAGAAUUCCAGGUGUAGCGGUGAAAUGCGUAGAGAUCUGGAGGAAUACCGGUGGCGAAGGCGGCCCCCUGGACAAAGACUGACGCUCAGGUGCGAAAGCGUGGGGAGCAAACAGGAUUAGAUACCCUAGUAGUCCCAUGAU
rnacentral:rRNA from 1 species